UCGGCUACUUCCUUUCCCUUGC
rnacentral:miRNA from 1 species